AUUAAGCCUUAAACAUCUAACUUGCAGAUGAUGGAUGUACUAUUAUUCUUAGUAAAAUGUAGCCCAUCUGCCUUAGUUUCCAGCAUCUAGUUGCUCACAUUAGAAAGUUAUAUGAAAUUGCAUUCAAGUUUUGUUUUGGUUUCUUAAAUGAAAUAAAAAUCAUCGCUGGCCAUUACUUUCCGCAAACCCAAAAUAAAACUAAGGAACUCACUUCCCACAGGAGGCAGUGAUGCCUCCCAACUUGGAAGGCUUUAAAAAAGGACUGGACACAUUCAUGGAAGAGAGCACUAUUGCUGCUCUGUCUCCACAGUUGGCUGCAGCAAUAAUGAUGAUGAUGAUAAUAAUAAUAAUAAUAAUAAUAAUAAUAAUAAUAAUAAUUUAUUUAUACCCCGCCCAUCUGGCUGAGUUUCCCCAGCCACUCUGGGUGGCUCCCAAUCAAAUGAUUAAAAACAGUACAGUGGUACCUUGGGCUACAUACGCUUCAGGUUACAUACGCUUCAGGUUACAUAUGCUUCAGGUUACAGACUCCACUAACCCAGAAAUAGUGCUUCAGGUUAUGAACUUUGCUUCAGGAUAAGAACAGAAAUUGGGCUCCAGCGGCGCAGCGGCAGCAGGAAGGCCCCAUUAGCUAACGUGGUGCUUCAGGUUAAGAACGGUUUCAGGUUAAGUACGGACCUCCGGAACAAAUUAAGUACUUAACUUGAGGUUCCACUGUUCAGCAUUAAAUAUUAUAAACUUCCCUAAACAGGGCUCCCUUCAGAUGUCUUUUAAAGAUAGAAUAGCUGCUUAUUUCCUUCACAUCUGAAGGGAGGGUGUUCCACAGGGCAGGCGCCACUACUGAGAAGGCCCUCUGCCUUGUUCCCUGUAACCUCACUUCUCACAAUGAGGGAACCGCCAGAAGGCCCUCAGAGCUGGACCUCAGUGUCUGGGCAGAACGAUGGGGGUGGAGAUGCUCCUUCAGGUAUACAGGACCGAGGUCGUUUAGGGCUUUCAAGGUCAGCACCAACACUUUGAAUUGUGCUUGGAAACGUACUGGUUUCAAUGCUUCUGAAUACCAGUCGCUAGAAACCACAGGAAGAGAGAGAGCUCUUAAGCUCAAAUCCUGAUUGCUGGUUUCCCACAGGUAUCUGCUUGGCCACUGUGAGAACAGGAUGCUGGACGAGACAGUCAGGUUAUUAUGUUAUUAGAAGGGUUUCCUGGUUCUAAACUGAGCAACUCACAUCAACUUCAUUUUUCUAGCAAAGUAUUUCACCCUCUCAUGCUGCCCAGGGUGGGCGCACUCCCGAGGGGUAUGGGGCGUUGAGGGUGCCCUCCCAGGCGUGAAAUAGCCACUUGGGUGCAUGGAACGGUGCCCACACCCUGCAGCCAGGUGCGGAGUGAGCUGCCGAUGGGGGACAUUUGGCGCCCCACCCGCCCGUGACUCCCAAGUCUCCCCCAGCUUUCAAAACAAUGUCACCCCCCUCAGCGAAGACACCCGGGGUGGACUGCCCCCACCGCACACCCCUUCCUCUGCCCCUGGCUGUCUGCCCUUCUGUCCCCUAAGAUCAGAGCACCACACACCAAAUUCACAGCUCCCAGUUGACUAGCAUCUUGCAGUUUCUGUCCUCAGUCUCAGGUAGCACAUCAAAACUUCACCCACUCCACUGAUUGUAAGAGUCUUUUCAUUUUACAGCCAGGUUUCUGUCCUCAGCUGCAGUGGAUAAUGCUGUCCUGAAACCAGUAUUAUUAAUAAUAAUAACACUCAAAAUGGAAAGAAAGAAAGAUGUUAAUGGACCAAGUAAAUUUAUGUGAAACUAGUUUUGGAAAACUGCUACAAUGAUGUAUAUGGAAACUCAGCCAGGGGGAUUUGAGGAAGUCACCAACAAUGAUAACAAAAGUGGAAUUUUUACAGUUAGGAUAUAUGUGUGUUUGUUUGCUUGUUUUUUGAUGUUUUCUUUUUAUGUUUGUGGAUAUGUUUGUUAUAAAUUUGGAAAACUAAUAUUUUUUGGGGAUGAUGAUAAUAACAACAACAACAACCUAAAUUCAGCUAACAGUUUGCUUUGGUACAUGGGAAAGGGUACAGACUAUCUUGCCUUUGCAUAAACAUGAAUAAGACCAAAAGGCAGACUUCGAUUGGCAUAUCUAGAUCCUGGGAGGAGGCGGGAAGUUCUGAGGUUGUGUAUAUUUCUGUGGUUUUGUCUAAUACAUUGCAGAGGGAGGGAGGGAGGGAGGGAGAGAGAUUUCAUUCUAUCAAUGUUCAAUUGUUUUUAAAUAUUUUUUGGUAUGUCUUAAACAUUUCUUAUUUUUAGCUGCAAGUCAUCUUGAGGGAAAAUGGUGGGGUUUAAAUAAAUAUAUAUUAAGACAUCCAAACUGGAGUCCCAGAUUUUUGAAGCUAAAACUGGAUAUGCACAAAGGAAAAUAACCUGCAGAUACUGAAACUGGCCCUGGGUUUGACACAACAGGAAAUUGCUGCUUGUUGUGGAUGAAUGUUUUUCUGCACUGCCCACAGCUGUUUACUCUUGUCUUGUAAAUAAUCCCUUAGGUUUUGCAUUGCUUGGUGCUGUUUGCCUUGCUUAACAGUGUUUUCAACUCUGCAGUUUCUGUCUUUUCAUUAUUUGGUCAAUCCAUCAGGCCACCAGUGAAGGUUUCUAAAGUCAUGUUUCUUUUUAUCUGCAUCACACCCACAGGGAAAGCUUCAUGGAACUUGAUUAGAGAGACGCAUGAGUAGUAGAGCUACUUCCCUCGCAAGGUUCUGUUUCUUCUUGGGUUUGUCCACAGUUCCUUUAGGCUUAAUCUCCUCUCCUCACUUGGAGCUUUAUGUGGGGCUUUGCCUGAGAUACAAUUAUUGCCUAUGUCUUGGAGAAAAAGGAAAAUGAAGAGAAAAGUCUCUGUAUGGAAUCCUUCUAAGCCGCAGAAGAAUUUCUGAGGGAAGCCAUUCAAUUUGUUGCAUAUGUAAGAAUGGCAAGCUGGCCAGACUUACAUUCUAAACCAGGCAACAGAGAGUUCUGCAACAUCAGUAGUUGGCUUGGAAGUCAUGGUGCCUCCAGCUACUCUGAGGUCACAAUGGCCCACAGCUACCAGCCAGUCAUUGGGCAGAGGAAGCAUAGGAGAGAACAGGUUAGAAACAGUAACAUAUUAUCUCUGGAUGCCAAGGCUGGGAGAGUGGGGAAAGGAAGCAACAGUUUAGCUGGGACUUGUGAGAGAGAAGAAAGCAAGUCUGGAGUUGGAAACAGUGGCAUAACAUGGUUUGCUAGUGCCUGGGUCCUUACGGAGAGGGGUAUUGGGAGGGAGGGGGACCAAGAAAAUGCAUGCACAUUGAACUGCCUAAUGGCAUCCGCAUCACCCAGGAGAUCGCAGCCACAGAGAUUUUUUUUAAAAAGAGUAGUUUCAUUGUCUAGAGAGGUCACUUCCUGGUUCGCAUGGAGAAACCAUUUUCAAUGGAGCCCAGCAAUAGAAGCACACAGCUGUAUUGAGGCAGUACCUCAAUUUUGUGCCUGGGGCAACCACCCCGUACCUCAUGCCACUGGCUGGAAAGAAGUGUGCUGGAAGGGGGAAAGGAGGGUUAGAAGGCACUAUACAGAGAUGUUAAGGAACGUGGUGUGUCCUGACUCUUGGCCUUAUGAAGGCUUUGCAACAAAAAAGCUUAAGAAAUCUGGCCACGUGGAACAAGGGUCUGGGGGGGGGGAAUGUGCUGCCUGUCAUACUCUCCCCUCUCCAAGCCCACCCCACUUAGCAGUAAGAACAUAGUUUAAGUCUACUCACCAAUCUCCUUUUGCUUGGUAAAUUAUCUCUCAACUGUUCCUCUUUGCCUAUAGGAUUCAUAGCUCUGGGUUUCCAGUUUGCUGAAGAUCUGCCACUGUCAGUAAAAAUUAUUGUUAAGUGACAUCAUUUAUGAUAUCAAAGAAAGAAACAAACAAAAAGCACAGAUUUGCAUAUUUUUCUUAACAAUGACUCCCAUGAACUCAGAGAAGGAAUAGUAUUAAAACUGGAAAUGUUACUAUUGCCACAAUGGCAUAUUAAUUUGGAGGCCUCUUCGUAAUCAA
rnacentral:lncRNA from 1 species